GUGCCAGCAGCCGCGGUAAUACCGGCAGCCCGAGUGACGGCCGAUCUUAUUGGGCCUAAAGCGUCCGUAGCUGGCUGCGCAAGUCCGUCGGGAAAUCCACUCGCCCAACGAGUGGGCGUCCGACGGAAACUGCACAGCUUGGGACCGGAAGGCUCGAAGGGUACGUUCGGGGUAGGAGUGAAAUCCCAUAAUCCCGCACGGACCACCGAUGGCGAAAGCACGUCGCGAGAACGGAUCCGACAGUGAGGGACGAAAGCCAGGGUCUCGAACCGGAUUAGAAACCCUAGUAGUCC
rnacentral:rRNA from 1 species